UACGUAGGGGGCUAGCGUUGUCCGGAUUUAUUGGGCGUAAAGAGCGUGUAGGCGGCGCGGUAAGUCGGGUGUGAAAUCUCGGAGCUUAACUCCGAAACUGCAUUCGAUACUGCCGUGCUUGAGGACUGGAGAGGAGACUGGAAUUUACGGUGUAGCGGUGAAAUGCGUAGAUAUCAUAAGGAAGACCAGUGGCGAAGGCGGGUCUCUGGACAGUUCCUGACGCUGAGGCACGAAGGCCAGGGGAGCAAACGGG
rnacentral:rRNA from 1 species